CUGAUGUGAGUCCUAACUCAGUUGUGAGCUCAUGUGUAGUUCUGUGUUUGGUCUCUGUGUGUCAGUAGUGAGUGAUAGUGUUUGAUCAGCUGCAGCAUCAGUUCAGUCACUGUGACUCUGACUGACACAGGUUUUUGUACGACUCACAAUCACUGUGUGAACACAUAAUCACCCACACAACCAUAAUAAUUUGUUCUGCAAUUAAAACUCUGACAGUAAUAAUGUCCAGCAUCUUCAGUCUGGACUCCACUGAUGGUCAGAGUGAAAUCACUGUUAGAUCCACUGCCACUGAAUCUAGAUGGAGUUCCUGACUGGAGACUGCUUGUAUAAUAAAUCAGGAGUUUAGGAGCUUCUCCAGGUUUCUGUAAGUACCAGGCUAAA